GGGCAAUGUCAUUCGUUCUGAUGGAAGCACAGAAUUUCAGUGUGUGUAGAGGCACAGCACUUUUAUUUAGCUCACCAGCAAUGCUCUGAAAGUUAACAGCAGCAGCCCAGGCACAACCCAGAAACCAAGUGGAAUUUGCACUUUCCAGAGACCAUCCUUCCACAGUUCCAAACCAGGUGUUUCUUGUUUCAUGUCUUCUCUUGGAUUUCAAGCUUAGAAACCCACCCUAUGAGUUCAUGUUUUCUUCCACAUUUUUUAUCUGUUCAUAUUUUACACUUAACUGUUUAAUGCUUCUGAGACUUAUUUUGAUACAUGAGACAGAAUGAGAAGAGACUCACUUUAACUGAUAUUCACAAUGUUAAUGAACUAAUCCAUUACUUUCUCAUUUGUUUUUAAUAUUCCAUUAUCAUCAUUUUUUCUAUCCUGGGUUCAUACUAACACUCUAAUAGAAUUAUGUAAAAUAACCCCUGUGAUUACUUAAGAACAUUGAGAAAUUCAGGAAGACUGUGGUCUCCUCUGUGACCAUAUCAUGUGACUAAUAUAAUUUUUCACUUAUGCAUCACAAAAUGCAUGAAGAAAAGAGUCCCCACGAGGAGUUUCUGUUGCUCUCAGCAGCACCAGAAGCUCCAUGUUGCCAAAAUGGACUCCAAAGUAAAUCUAAACAUUCCCAUCAGCUUCUGGAGUUUAUGCCCUCAUGAGAAACUUAAGUCGAGGUGGCUAAGGUGAUUAGAGCAAUCUCAGGGAGAACACUUCUCACCAUGCCGCAGUUCUGGUCUUCACAGGGAAUACGCAACUGAUCCCUCUGUUUAGAUUUUACUUGCUCAAUGUCUCCGCGAUUUGCAGUUUAAAAGUGACAAAUCAAAUUCUGUCGGAGGAAGUUGUGCUGAGUACAACAUGGUAUUCAUUUCAUUCAGACAAGUAAGUCACCUGUCAGGACUUCCGGUAUCCCAGACCACAGAAACCCAGGGAGACAUCUAAUGACUGAAGGCCAGGCUCCCUGACCCAGCUUCCUCAACAGUAUGAAAAAAAUUAGUCAUUAAAGGCAGAAAAUUGUAUUUCAAAAGCAAAUGGGAACUUUGUAAUGUCUAAGGAUCAAGCAAACUCUCCCAUAUAUGAUUUUGUUUUUAAUAGAAACAUCACAGCACUCUGUCAGAAAGACCAAUUAGAAGAACAGUGUUUGACUUCCCAAUAAAUUUCCCUGGGUAGAUGAAACAGAGACUACCGGGCAUGAAGUCACGGCACUAACUGUGCUAAGUGAACCUUAAACUACUACAGCUUCAAAAUGGGAGGUUUCAUUUAGAACUUUUAACUAGUUAGCAGCAAUAAGUAGAGACAAACAGUCCUGAGUGAAUUCUUAUCAAAAUCUGUAAAUCAUUUUGUCAAUUACAACUUCCACACUCUAAAUUCCUUGUUAUUCUGACUCCUUCAGCACUGAGCUAAUCAAAUUACCCCUCCUUUCUUUCUGCACUUCACAAAGCAGAAUAAUUUAUAAGUAUAUUUACACCACAAGUUGGGGGGGGUAGAAAGAGAGAGAUAGAAAGGAAUAAGGAGAGGAAGGAAGGAAAACAGAAAUUUUUGGCAUAAUUUUGGUUUCUGUCAUAAUAAUUCCCUCAUAGUUUGAAAACAAUCUCCAACAGCUUAAUGAGGAUACAAAUUUAUAACAAUGAGAAAGACUCUUUAAACUCCAGUGCUACAGAACAGACGAAUUUGUAGUUAUUUCCAUCUGAAAAGGAAACUCUUUCUAGAAGUGCCACUGUAUACUUCCUUCAAGUAAAAAUUGCCCUUGGAGCAUUUAAAAGAUUUACAUUUCUUAAAAUGCAAGUGAAAAGUAACUUUUCACACAGCCAUUGUUGCCUAAAGUAAAACAAUCUCACAUAUGUUUCCCUUUGUCUAGAUUACCAUGUGGUCAAAGUCUGAGACAUGAUUUUCUCAAAAGGACCAUUCAUCUUGGAGGAAGGGUGGGAGUCAGGCCCAAUCCAUGUUUAUGGCAGGGUGGGAAAGAGUGGCAUGAACAAGGUGCUUGAUUGCUUCAUACAACUGAUAGCAAACAAAGUUCUGACCAACUGUUA